rnacentral:rRNA from 1 species
AUUGAACGCUGGCGGCAGGCCUCACACAUGCAAGUCGAACGGAGUGGCGGACGGGUGAGUCAUGCCUACGAAUCUGCCUGGUAGUGGGGGAUAACGUACGGAAACGGGCGCUAAUACCGUAUACUAACAGAUGAGCCUAGGUCGGAUUAGCUAGUUGGUGGGGUACAGGCCUACCAAGGAGACGAUCCGUAACUGGUAUGAGAGGAUGAUCAGGCACACAGGAACUGAGACACGGUCCAUAUGCCUACGGUAGGCAGUAGUGGGUAAUAUGGGACAAUGGGCGAAAGCCUGAUCCAGCCAUGCCGCGUGUGUGAAGAAGGUCUUCGGAUUGUAAAGCACUUGAAGUUGGGAGGCGUUACCAACUGAAUAAGCACCGGCUAACGUCGUGCCAGCAGCCGCGGUAAUAC